rnacentral:rRNA from 1 species
UAGGGAAUAUUGCACAAUGGGCGAAAGCCUGAUGCAGCAACGCCGCGUGUGCGAUGAAGGCCUUCGGGUCGUAAAGCACUUUUCUGAGAGAUGAGAAAGGACAGUAUCUCAGGAAUAAGUCUCGGCUAACUACGUGCCAGCAGCCGCGGUAACACGUAGGAGGCGAGCGUUAUCCGGAUUCACUGGGCGUAAAGCGCGUGCAGGCGGUUUGGUAAGUUGGGCGUGAAAGCUCCCGGCUCAACUGGGAGAGGUCGUUCAAUACUACCAGACUAGAGAGCAGAAGAGGAAGAUGGAAUUCCCGGUGUAGUGGUGAAAUGCGUAGAUAUCGGGAGGAACACCAGUGGCGAAGGCGAUCUUCUGGUCUGUUUCUGACGCUCAGACGCGACAGCUAGGGUGGUAAACGGGAUUAGAGACCCCGGUAAUCCUAGCCGUAAACGAUGUAAACUUGGCGUCGGUGGCUUAAACUCCGUCGGUGCCGCAGCUAACGCGAUAAGUUUACCGCCUGGGGACUACGAUCGCAAGAUUA